rnacentral:misc_RNA from 1 species
UGUGGGAGCGAGCCUGCUCGCGAUUGCGGCGGUACAUUCAACAUCACUGCCAACUGAACCACCGCCAUCGCGAGCAGGCUCGCUCCCACA